GAUGAACGCUGGCGGCGUGCCUAAUACAUGCAAGUCGAGCGAACGGACGAGAAGCUUGCUUCUCUGAUGUUAGCGGCGGACGGGUGAGUAACACGUGGAUAACCUACCUAUAAGACUGGGAUAACUUCGGGAAACCGGAGCUAAUACCGGAUGAUAUUUUGAACCGCAUGGUUCAAAAGUGAAAGACGGUCUUGCUGUCACUUAUAGAUGGAUCCGCGCUGCAUUAGCUAGUUGGUACGGUAACGGCUUACCAAGGCAACGAUGCGUAGCCGACCUGAGAGGGUGAUCGCCCACACUGGAACUGGGACACGGUCCAGACUCCUACGGGAGGCAGCAGUAGGGAAUGUGACGCAGUGGGCGAAAGCCUGACGGAGCAACGCCGAGUGAGUGAUGAAGGUCUUCGGAUCGUAAAACUCUGUUAUUAGGGAAGAACAUAUGUGUAAGUAACUGUGCACAUCUUGACGGUACCUAAUCAGAAAGCCACGGCUAACUACGUG
rnacentral:rRNA from 1 species